rnacentral:rRNA from 1 species
AGCAGCCGCCGCGGUAAUACGUAGGUGGCAGCGUUGUCCGGAAUUAUUGGGCGUAAAGGGCUCGCAGGCGGUUUCUUAAGUCUGAUGUGAAAGCCCCCGGCUCAACCGGGGAGGGUCAUUGGAAACUGGGAAACUUGAGUGCAGAAGAGGAGAGUGGAAUUCCACGUGUAGCGGUGAAAUGCGUAGAGAUGUGGAGGAACACCAGUGGCGAAGGCGACUCUCUGGUCUGUAACUGACGCUGAGGAGCGAAAGCGUGGGGAGCGAACAGGAUUAGAUACCCGGGUAGUCCCUGUCUCUUAUACA